rnacentral:lncRNA from 1 species
UUGGGAACGGUCUGCUUGCAAGAGAUUGAAGGCGAGUUAGCCCUGCGAGCGCUGCUCGUUCGACGACGACAUCAGGUGAGAGAUUAGGGUUUCAAACGGCGCCGAGUCGGGGCCAAGAAUCGCCGCGAGUUGCGCUUGCUGGAGCUGAGUUGACUCGGGAUCCAUGGGAGAAAAUUAGGUUUUUGGGGGUGAGAUGAUUAAGAGCAGUGGUGGUGAUGGAGGCGCUCUCUCACUCACUCUCUCUAAAAAUAUAUCUUGCUUUUCCCGCACUCUCUGGAGGAGUGUUGUUAUGGUGGGGCUAAUUAGGGCGAGAGACACUACAUAAAAAGUGGAGCAUUCGCUGUGAUUAGCGUGUCGAUAAUUAGUACUAAUCUUUUGCGUAAACUACAUUAUCUCCCCUGAGAUUUCUAAUAAAUACAAACAUCCCUAUAUUUUUUGAAGUUAUUCCCUGACAAUAGACUAAGACCUCCUCUCUGUUAUGACGGAAGAUUCUGCUGGCCGGCCUCGUCUCAUUUUGAUCAUAGUGCCAAUUUUGU